CCACACUGACAGGAGUCUCCAGCCUCCUCAGAACCCACUGUGUAGGUUUGGGAAAAUUAUGGGUCACAUAGAUGCUGACAGGAGCCCCGAGCCUCCUCAGGUCUUAUGGUGAGGCUUGAGGAAAAUGUGGGGCCUUGUCAACCCUGACAGGAACCCCGUCCUCCUCAGGACCAGCACUUUGGCUUCAGGACAUAUGGGGCUGUGUCUAUGCUGACAGGAGCCCACAGCCCCCUCAGGACCUGCGGUCAGUUUUCUGUGGGACGUGGGACCAUGUCCAUGCUGACAGAAGACCCCAGCUUCCUGAGGACCUGCUGUGAGGCUUCCAGAGGAUGUGAGACAUAGUCCACAGUGACAGGAGACCCGGCGUCCUCAGGACCCGCUGACUAUGACUCAGGAACACGUUGGGCCAUGUCCACACUCAAAGGAGCCCGGCUCGCUUGGACCCACUGGAGGACUCUGGAGGAGCCAUUGGGGGCCACGUCUACAUCAGAACGGACUCCUCAGAACCACAGGGAGCCAGCCUGUGCUGGGGAGGCCUGAGGAAGACAUGGGGACAUGUCCAAGCUGAUGAGCCACAGCCUCCUCAGAAUCUGCGGGGAGUCUUCAGGGGGAUAUUGGGCAGCGUACACGCUGACAGGAGCCCUGGUCUCCUCAGGACACACGGUGAGGCUUCCGGAAGAUAUGGGCCCACAUCUAUCCUGACAGGAGCCCCUGGGCUGCCUCAGGACCCGCGGGGAGGCUUCAGUAAGAUGUGA
rnacentral:lncRNA from 12 species